rnacentral:rRNA from 1 species
GACGAACGCUGGCGGCGUGCUUAACACAUGCAAGUCGAACGGAAAGGCCCCUACCUUUUGGUGGGGGUGCUCGAGUGGCGAACGGGUGAGUAACACGUGGGUGAUCUGCCCUGCACUUCGGGAUAAGCUUGGGAAACUGGGUCUAAUACCGGAUAGGACCAUGGUUUAGCAUCUCAUGGUGGAAAAAUAUUGUUUUGGUGUAGGAUGAGCCCGCGGCCUAUCAGCUUGUUGGUGGGGUAAUGGCCUACCAAGGCGUCGACGGGUAGCCGGCCUGAGAGGGUGGACGGCCACAUUGGGACUGAGAUACGGCCCAGACUCCUACGGGAGGCAGCAGUGGGGAAUAUUGCACAAUGGGCGCAAGCCUGAUGCAGCGACGCCGCGUGGGGGAUGACGGCCUUCGGGUUGUAAACUCCUUUCGUUAGGGACGAAGCCGCACUUUUUUUGGGUGUGGUGACGGUACCUUUGUUAAGAAGCACCGGCUAACUACGUGCCAGCAGCCGCGGUAAUACGUAGGGUGCGAGCGUUGUCCGGAAUUACUGGGCGUAAAGAGCUCGUAGGUGGUUUGUUGCGUCGUCUGUGAAAUUCCGGGGCUUAACUUCGGGGUGGCAGGCGAUACGGGCAUAACUAGAGUGCUGUAGGGGAGACUGGAAUUCCUGGUGUAGCGGUGGAAUGCGCAGAUAUCAGGAGGAACACCGAUGGCGAAGGCAGGUCUCUGGGCAGUAACUGACGCUGAGGAGCGAAAGCAUGGGGAGCGAACA